rnacentral:rRNA from 1 species
GACGAACGCUGGCGGCGUGCUUAACACAUGCAAGUCGAACGGAAAGGCCCUGCUUUUGUGGGGUGCUCGAGUGGCGAACGGGUGAGUAACACGUGAGUAACCUGCCCUUGACUUUGGGAUAACUUCAGGAAACUGGGGCUAAUACCGGAUAGGAGCUCCUGCUGCAUGGGGGGGGUUGGAAAGUUUCGUCGGUUGGGGAUGGACUCGCGGCUUAUCAGCUUGUUGGUGGGGUAGUGGCUUACCAAGGCUUUGACGGGUAGCCGGCCUGAGAGGGUGACCGGCCACACUGGUACUUAGAGACGGCCCAGACGCCUACGGGAGGCAGCAGUGGGGAAUAUUGCACAAUGGGCGGAAGCCUCAUGCAGCAACGCCGCGUGCGGGAUGACGGGCUUCGGGUUGUAAACCGCCUUCGCCAGUGACGCAGCGUGUGUGACGGUAAUGUGUAAAGAAUCACCGGCUAACUACGUG